AACUGAUUUCUCUGAUCCUGUAUAUUUUAUUUUAUGCAUUUAAGUACAUUUUUUCUGGGAAAAGGUUCAUAAGUUUCAUUGAAUUUCCAAAGGGGUCUAGUCCAGGAUAUAAAAAUGAUCAAGAACUCCUGCUUUAAAGCGAGAAGAUAACAGAGGAAACCAAAUCAGCAUACUCCUUUAGAAACAUUCCUAGGACUAAAGAAAACAACACCAGUUGCAGAAUGUUUAUCUGUUCUACAUUGACUUGAUCUAAAGAAUUAAGAAAACUCCAAUGAAGAGCUGACACCUGACUUGGGCAUUAAAGGAUCUACCAAAGAAGCUUCCUUUUGGGGAUGGGAAGAUGGGCAUAAAGCUGGUCAGCCUAUUCCAGUCCAGAGCCUGCACACCUUGGACUCUUCCAUUGACUGAGGGAGCAGUCAUCUUCCAAAUUUCUUUAGAAAUGUAGGGAAGCCACUGGAGAACUCUUCUGAGAGUUCUUCCUCUGGAUGUGGAUAGUGUUCUUUCUCAUAAGUCCCUCAGAACUGUCCUGGAUCAUUGCAUUGCUGCUAGUGAAGAAGAGUUGAUUGUACCACAGUAUAUUAGUCUCUGUGUAUAAUGUUCUCCUGGUUCUGCUCUUUUCACUCUGCAUCAAUUCCUGGACAGGUUUACAUUUUGAUUGGAUGCAAGUUGCAUUUCUCCUUUAAUUCAUUUCCUUCACUAACUUCUUGAAAUUUCUGUAAGGCUGUCAUUAAAAUGUUUCCUCGUUUGCAGACUUUUUCAUAUUAUUCUAUGAACAUUUUGACUAGUCAAUAUUUCUUUGGGACUCUUGGGACUUUGGUUAUUGUAUCAUGAGGUGAUGAAUGAAAUUGUGACAUUGUCUUUGAAACAAGUAUGAAAGACUCAUCCAAAUAAAUUUUCACAAAAAAUUUUA